CGGGUGAGUUAUGUCUGGGAAACUGCCCGAUGGAGGGGGAUAACUACUGGAAACGGUAGCUAAUACCGCAUAAAUGUCGCAAGACCAAAGAAGGGGGACCUUCGGGCCUCCUUGCCAUCGGGAUGUGCCCAGAUGGGAUUAGCUAGGUAGGUGGGGGUAACGGCUCACCUAGGCGACGAUCCCUAGGCUGGUCUGAGAGGAUGACCAGCCACACUGGAAACUGAGACACGGUCCAGACUCCUACGGGAGGCAGCAGUGGGGAAUAUUGCACAAUGGGCGCAAGCCUGAUGCAGCCAUGCCGCGUGUAUGAAGAAGGCUUCGGGUUGUAAAGUAUUCAGCGAGGAGAAGGCGUUGGGUUAAUAACCACAGCGAUUGAC
rnacentral:rRNA from 1 species